AGGAUUCCCCUAGUAACGGCGAGUGAAGAGGGAAAAGCCCAGCACCGAAGCCUGCGCAGGUUUGCUGUUAGGCAAUGUGGUGUUUGGGUCGGCUCGUGGGACUACCACUCCACUCGAAGUCCAGCAUUGAGUAUGGUUUCUGGAUUUGGCCCAGAGAGGGUGAAAGGCCCGUACGGUGGAGUAUCAGACAUGUGAGGUGGUUCACCAGGCCGGCCUUAGAGUCGGGUUGUUUGGGAAUGCAGCCCAAAGCGGGUGGUAAACUCCAUCCAAGGCUAAAUACUAGCACGAGUCCGAUAGCGAACAAGUACCGUGAGGGAAAGUUGAAAAGUACUCUGAAGAGAGAGUAAACAGUACGUGAAACCGCAUGCAGGUAAACGGGUGGCGUCAAGCUGCAAGCCCAGAGAAUUCAGCCGGCUAGGAUGUUGUGUAUGCGCCUGGCGCAUCUAUCAGUCGGAGUAUGAUGGGAUAGUCCACUAGAAGACAGUGGGCCUGGCCGCAAGGUCAGAAUAUGUGUACCGGGUGGGUGCCGGAGCAUGCUAUCKMGUCUAGGGACUGUCUAGCCGGUGCACUUUCUCUGUGGUCAACACCACGACCGGUGGUAUUGCCAGUCUGCUGUGUCCAAGUCGCAUCUGGUGGGUCCUCGUGGCUUACUGGGUGCGAUCACAGGCAAACUCAGUGAACGGCGUAGAGGUGUUUCGGCACUUUUGCGUGUUAUCGGUAACUGGUUGUCAACGGGCCUGCUCCGUGUUUGUUGUAGCCGACACGUGGGUGGUCCGGUGGGGCAUGGUGGUAAGAAUAACUGUGCAAGGCACCGGGGUUCUCGGCCUCAAAUGCGUCCUGCACCCACGUUACAAGUGGUAUUAAUAUCGGCGAUGUCGUUGCUGCCUGCUCGGUGCUGGGUGUGAUUGGCGUGUUGCCUGCGCAAAGUAGGCCCGCAGUGGCUCGGCUCGAGAUGGGUAGUUGGCGGUGUUGUCGGUGUGGGGCGUUGUGGGCCAAAUAGUCUGUGGUGUMGU
rnacentral:rRNA from 1 species